rnacentral:rRNA from 1 species
UCGGGAAUUUUGGACAAUGGGCGAAAGCCUGACCCAGCAACGCCGCGUGAAGGAUGAAGUAUUUCGGUAUGUAAACUUCGAAAGAAUAGGAAGAAUAAAUGACGGUACUAUUUAUAAGGUCCGGCUAACUACGUGCCAGCAGCCGCGGUAAUACGUAGGGACCAAGCGUUGUUCGGAUUUACUGGGCGUAAAGGGCGCGUAGGCGGCAAUUCAAGUCAUCUGUGAAAUCUCCGGGCUUAACUCGGAACGGUCAGAUGAUACUGCUUUGCUAGAGUGCAGAAGGGGCAAUCGGAAUUCUUGGUGUAGCGGUGAAAUGCGUAGAUAUCAAGAGGAACACCUGAGGUGAAGACGGGUUGCUGGGCUGACACUGACGCUGAGGCGCGAAAGCCAGGGGAGCAAACGGGAUUAGAUACCCAUGUAGUCCCUGAGCGGGCUGGCAAGGCGCAU